CGGAAGAAUAGAGAUUCGAACUCUAAUGCCCAUUUCUGAACGUCGGUUUUCAAGACCGGUGCAAUACCAUUAUGCGAUUCUUCC
rnacentral:tRNA from 1 species